rnacentral:rRNA from 1 species
GACGAACGCUGGCGGCGUGGAUUAGGCAUGCAAGUCGAGCGACGGACAGUCUUCGGACUGUUACGGAGCGGCGAACGGGUGAGUAACGCGGGAACAACUUGUCCUUACAUUCCGGAUAAUUCACCGAAAGGUGUUGUAAUACGGGGGAGGAUCGUUUGGAGGCAUCUUCGAACGAGGGAAGGCGCAAGCCGUGCAAGGAG